AUUGAACGCUGGCGGGAUGCUUUACACAUGCAAGUCGAACGAGUGGCGGACGGGUGAGUAAUAUAUCGGAACGUGCCCAGUAGCGGGGGAUAACUACUCGAAAGAGUGGCUAAUACCGCAUACUUUUGAUGCGGCCAAUAUCGGAUUGGCUAUUUGGGGGGGUAAGGGCUCACCAAGGCAACGAGCCGUAGCUGGUUUGAGAGGAUGACCAGCCACACUGGGACUGAGACACGGCCCAGACUCCUACGGGAGGCAGCAGUGGGGAAUAUUGGACAAUGGGGGAAACCCUGAUGCAGCCAUCCCGCGUGUAUGAGAAGGCCGUCGGGUUGUAAAGUACUUUUGGCAGAGAGGCGGUAUCUGCAGAAGAAGCACCGGCUAACUACGUGCCAGCAGCCGCGGUAAUUC
rnacentral:rRNA from 1 species